UACGUAGGGGGCAAGCGUUGUCCGGAUUCAUUGGGCGUAAAGAGCGUGUAGGCGGCCAGGUAGGUCGGUUGUGAAAACUGGAGGCUCAACCUUCAGAGGUCGACCGAAACCAUCUGGCUAGAGUCCGGGAGAGGAGAGUGGAAUUCCUGGUGUAGCGGUGAAAUGCGCAGAUAUCAGGAGGAACACCGGUGGCGAAGGCGGUUCUCUGGGCAUUACCUGACGCUGAGGAGCGAAAGCAUGGGGGAGCGAACAGG
rnacentral:rRNA from 1 species